GAGUGUGUGAGUGAGUGUGAGCAAGUGUGUGUGAAUCAGUAGGUGGCGGUAAUGCACCUAUUUCGCUGGUUUGCCAAACCGCCAUAAAACACCAGAAGAAGAAGAAGAAGACGAAGAAGAAGACGAAGAAGAGUCAAACACGUGUGGAUGGUUUGAGCAGCGGCUCGUGUCGUGUGAACGCAGUAGGAGCUCUACACACAGUCCUGAGACUUGUGUGCUUUAGAAUAGAUUCAUUUUGUUCGCGUUGACUUUCAGAUCUGUGCGGUUUCCUCCUCAGUCCGUCUGUAAGCGCAGCAUUACUUCACAGUCCCCGCAGCUGUCGUCUACGGUUUAUUCACAGCUCAGGCCGAUGGAGCAGACCGAGGCUCUGACCGGAGACAAGCGCUGCUUCCCCGAAGAGCAUCCGGGUCACGCCGCCAAGAGACUCCGAGUGGAGGAGGAGGAGGAG